rnacentral:lncRNA from 1 species
AAUCUGUUAAUGAAACCCCUUGUGAUGGGUUACAGCAGCAGCUGUUGCAACACCCCUCCCCCUUGUCCUACACAGGGAGGUUUCUGGUUUGAGGUUGCCCUGUGGUGGCCUCAAACUUUCUGGGAGAAUUCUAGAUUAGCUCUCAGCUUGUUGUGUGUGGUUUUGGAUGUAUAUUAUAAGCGGCUGUUGGCAUCUAUGAUGAACAGGCUACACAACAAAUUCAAGACCAGAAGACAAAAAGGCAGUGGAUGUAGUCAUUCUCUGGAAAAAUUAAGACACCGAUGUCUUUGAGCUAAAAAUCAAAAGUUAUCAGUCAGAGUAGAAGAAGCUUAAGGUUAAAUUGAUUCUGGAUAAUACCUGAGGAACACUAAAGCCCUGGCUUUCCUUCAGGAGGGAAAAAAAACAUUUGCCUUCAGAAUUCAGUAAAGCAGAAGCCUGACACCCCUGUAACACAGAAUCUGGUAAACUCUCAUUAUAGAUACAUAGGCCAUUUACCCAAGAUAGCAGAAAGUUAAUACCGG